GGAGAGAUGGCCGAGUCAGGCUGAAGGCAACCGCCUGCUAAGCGGUUGAACGGGUAAUGCCGUUCCGAGGGUUCGAAUCCCUCUCUCUCCGCCA
rnacentral:tRNA from 1 species